AUUUAACGCUGGCGGCAGGCCUAACACAUGCAAGUCGAACGAGUGGCGGACGGGUGAGUAAUGUCUGGGAAACUGCCUGAUGGAGGGGGAUAACUACUGGAACCGUUAGCUCAUACCGCAUACCAUCGGAUGUGCCCAGAUGGGCUUAGCUAUUAGGUGGGGUAAAGGCUCACCUAGGCGACGAUCCCUAGCUGGUCUGAGAGGAUGACCAGCAAAACUGGAACUUAGACACGGUCCAGACUCAUACGGGAGGCAGCAGUGGGGAAUAGUGCAAAAUGGGAGCAAGCCGGAUGCAGCCAUGCCGAGUGGAUGAAGAAGGCCUUCGGGUUGUAAAGUACUUUCAGCGGGGAGGCGUUACCCGCAGAAGAAGCACCGGCUAACUCCGUGCCAGCAGCCGCGGUAAUUC
rnacentral:rRNA from 1 species